GAAGGGGUAACCAGGUAAGGCGCAGGCCUGGAGAGCCUGUGGCGCGAUGCGCCUCGAGGGUUCAAAUCCCUCCCCCGGCG
rnacentral:tRNA from 2 species